AUACGUAGGUGACAAGCGUUAUCCGGAUUUACUGGGCGUAAAGGGCGUGUAGGCGGUCUUGCAAGUCAGAAGUGAAAUUCCUGAGCUCAACUCGGGCGCUGCUUCUGAAACUGCAGGACUUGAGUGCUGGAGGGGAUAGCGGAAUUCCUAGUGGGGCGGUAAAAUGCGCAGAUAUUAGGAAGAACACCGGUGGCGAAGGCGACUUACUGGGCCGUAACUGACGCUGAGGCGCGAAAGCGUGGGGAGCGAACAGGAUUAGAUACCCUGGUAGUCCACGCGGUAAACGAUGAAUGCUAGGUGUUGCGGGUAUCGACCCCUGCAGUGCCGGAGUCAACACAAUAAGCAUUCCGCCUGGGGAGUACGGCCGCAAGGUUGAAACUUAAAGGAAUUGACGGGG
rnacentral:rRNA from 1 species